rnacentral:rRNA from 1 species
ACCGCAAACCGACACAGGUAGUCAAGAUGAGAAUUCUAAGGUGAGCGAGCGAACUCUCGUUAAGGAACUCGGCAAAAUGACCCCGUAACUUCGGGAGAAGGGGUGCUCUUUAGGGUUAACGCCCAGAGGAGCCGCAGUGAAUAGGCCCAAGCGACUGUUUAUCAAAAACACAGGUCUCUGCUAAACCGUAAGGUGAUGUAUAGGGGCUGACGCCUGCCCGGUGCUGGAAGGUUAAGAGGAGUGGUUAGCUUCUGC